rnacentral:lncRNA from 1 species
UUAAGAAAGUUUUUGAUAAAGGUGUAACAAUUUUUUAUUUUAUUAAAUCUCCACCCUUGAGUUCCCAUCUUUUUAUUAUUCUGUGAGACAAAUGGGAAGUUCUCACAAAGUACUUCUACUGCACAUAGAAGAAAACCAUCAUCUUAAAGAAAAACACUUGUACAGUUAUCUGAGUGUGAGCUGACCCAACUUCUACUUUCAUGGUAUACCAUAAUAGAACUUUCAUAUGUAUACCCAAAAACUUAAAGUAUAAUAAAAAAAGAAAAAGAAAAAUAGAACUUUCAAGCAAAAAAAAAUUUUUUAAUUAAAAUUUAAAUUUAAAAUUUGAAAACUGUGUAUCAUAGUGAGCUUAACGUCUUUCCAAUCUUAAAUGCUUUUUGAUGAGGUCAGUGAGAAUGUUGACAAAAGUGGGGGUUUGGGUUAUCAUGUAAUAAAAUGGAUAAACAUUUGGAAGAUCCACAUAGCUCAGGGAACCCAUGCAUGAUGCUACAAAAUCAUUCAAGGUAAAAGAUCCAUUCAAAGUGGAAACUAGACUAAUGGAUUCAAUGUAAUCAAAUACAAAAAGUUCCCUGGUGUGGUUUCAGAUUACACAUUGCAGCUAGCCAUUGGGAAACUAUAACUUGUGGAGUUUUGGUGUAGUCUCAUAGAAGAAUACCCACAACCUGCUUGAAAGCUAUUAAAAUAUUCCUCCCUUUUCCAACUACACUUCUGUGUGAGGCCAGAUUUUCAUUACGUACUUUAGCCAAAAUGACAAAGAACAAGAUUGAAUGCAGAGGCAGAUACAACAUUAAUGAUACUAAAGAGAUUUGGGAAAUGUAAAACAAUGCCACUGUUCUCACAGAAGUAUUCUUUGUUUUGGAAAAUAUAGUUACUUUCCAUUAAAAAUUAUAUUGUUAGUUUUAAAUAAACAUAUUAAAGAUAUUUGAGAGCUUCUUAUUUUUACUUUCUAAUAUGGUAAAUUAAUAUGGACUUUUUGGGGUCCUCAAUAAUAUUUAAAGGAGUUAACAGGUUCUGCAACCAAAAGUGUUGAGAACUACUGCUUCACAGGUAAGUACUACAAUGAAAUCCCAUUUGUCUGUCAAAAUCCAGACUGGUAGUAGAAAUGUGGGUUGAAGAAAGUUGGCAAGUUAGGGAAUCAUAAAUUGAUAAUAUGUUCAUGUUUUAAUCACUUUCCUUUAAAGAAAAGUAUGCGUAGAUUUCUGCCACUCUUUUGAUCUAAGGAUAAACCAUUUUCUUUGUCGGUCUGCCUUUUGCAGUGUCUUUCUUGCAUAAACUACACCCAUAAAGCAAUAUCUAAGAUUCCUAAUAUUUUUAGUGAAGAAUGGUAUUUAAAACACUGUGGAAAUCAACCCAAAUGAAGGCCCUUUCUAGGUUUCCAAACUACUUUACACUAUUCCAAUUUUAAAACUGUAAUCUCACUCAUAGCUAAUUCAACAUAAAAGUUUUAACCCAUCACUUAUACUCUCUUUUCAAAACAUCCAACUUAAGUUUCAUAAAAGUAGCAACUCUCUAAACACAGACGUUUUGAGGAGUUACAGAAUAUGUAAAAUAUUUUAUUUACACUAAAUUUCAACAAGCAGACAUACAUUUGGAAAUAAAUGUAAUGAUAAAGCAGGUAUGGAUUUAAUAUCUUAAUGAACUAUUUAGUUUAUAAUGAAGAAUUUCUUGGCAUUGCAUGCUCAACCCGUUGAGAUUAUUUGGAGAGUUAUGAGCUUUGCAGGAGAUAUUCAUAACAUUAUAUAUCUAGAAUGGGUUAAAAUGGAUUUCUCACCUUGAGGAUAAACAUUUAUGACUUUAUUUUCAGUAGAGUAGUAAAAUAAGGACAAGGUAGAAAUAAGGAGGCUUGGUUUCACUCCUGCCUGCACCUCUAAAUUGUUCUGCAAACUUUUCUGGGUCACUGUGCUUCUUAGACUCAGCAGAGUACAGUUUUUAAAGGGAUUUGAUGUUUGACAUUUCAGUGGGUUCAGCAUAAAUGCAGAUGGUUGGGGCCCAUCUUAUGCCUAAAGGUGUUCCUACAUGUCUUUUAAUGCCUUUACUUUGAAGCUGACCUGAUGUCUUCUCGCUGGCCUUGUGAGAUGGGAUUUGCUGUCUCCACAAUCUCAGUUUUGAGUCCCAGCUCCACUACUGAUUGGAUGUAUUUUCUUAUCUAUAAAAUGUGGAUAACCACAGGUGAUUAUUAUAUGAGGUUAUACCAGUAAACUGCUUAGCAUGGUACUUAACAUAUACUAAUGAUUUCUAUGAAUAUGUUUGCACAACUUACUGUGAUUAUGGUAAAGCAUAUCAUUAAAUCCUUGGAAUUAUUUUUUAAUUUAUGAAAUAACUUUAGAUGAUUACUAAAAGUUCUGAUUUUGAAAUUUUGGAAGUCUACAUCUCCUCUUUUAUAAACUGAUAUAACAUCAAGUAGAUUUUUGUGACUAAGAUGUAAUUAUUUCCAAGAUCACUGAGAAGUAUUGCCCAAGUAAGCUGGAUAUCCCAAAAACUGUGAGCCAAAAAAUAAUAUAGAGAUAAGUAUCUUGUAGUUGAAUACUGACUAAAGAAAUUAUAACAUAUCAGUGUACUUAAAACACUGUAGAGAAGUAGAGAAGCUAAAAAUGAACUGCUCCAUGUGUGAAUUCUAUUGCUACUUGGAAAUGCGUCUAAGAAACAUUACCUGAAAAGAGCAAAAUAUCAAGGACUCUGAACCACCACUGUCCACAGUGGGCUGUCAUGCCAAGUGUAGUUUAUGCAUCUCUCCACAGCUGCAUUGUUGCCUACAGCCCCACAAGGUGCCUCCAUGCUCCGUGGCAGCCGGAAAUAGCAAUGUCUUCAAUCACACGCCUAUAAAAGCAAGGCGACUAAGAGUUCAGACCCCUCAGGGCUAAAGGCCUGGAUUAUCCAAUUGGUCAGACCGGCUGAAAUGUUGGUUAGUAGUGAAGAAUCUUGAAUGGGCAGUAAAGAAAGAAAAUGAUAAAUACUAAUUAGGAUCCCAGGACCAGCUGCAUGAGGAGAGCCUGUAGCUUGGCUUACAGACCCCCUUUCAAUCUUUACAAGAGACUGCAAAUGACCCUCUCCACUUUCUGGGAAAAAGUGAAGUCAUCUUAUUCUCUGGCCAUUUAGUUUGUAAAGAACAGAGAUGUGCCAGGUUGCUCAAAUCAAUUCUCCAAAUGUGGUACUCAAAUAGCAGCACAUUUUCUUAGUGGAUCUGUUCCCUUGAUGACAGGCUUCCCCCCAUUAAAAUAAACCUAUUAUAGACUGAAGUAUGAAAAUCAGGUACAUUUUUGAGAUCCUAAGAAAAAGUGAAGGGAAUCUCAUGCUUGCUGCCUGCAGCUCCAGCCUGGAUCUCCAGAUCUCCAAGGCUCCCCAUCUCGACUAUCAGACUGUGGGACACUUUCAUUGGAAAUUCUGAGAAGCACAGCCUUAGGUGUUGGAGGUUUAUGAUAAUGAAGAAAGAAAACUCAGAGGACAUCUCUGAAACUACACAGCCAGGCCUAGUGGAGAAAUGAAGUAGGCUCCGUACUGUCUGAGCCCCACACAGCUCAUGGUCUCUCCCCAUCUUACUGGACCAUGAGGACCCUUCAUCAGCAGAUGCCCACGACUGCCCCUCCACUGAUGCCAUUAUUGCCAUGAUGCAGCUUCUCUGUCUCUGCCCCCUCCUCCAUCCAAGUCUUUCCCUUCUCCCUCUUAUGAUACAACCCCUUUGUUUUUACUGAUUGAUCUUAUGACACAUCCCUUUUAUUUUUACCAGUUGACUCAUCUGACAUUUUUUCAAUGUAAAACAUUGAAAAAAAUUGGAUAAAAUAUGUCCCUGCCAUUGGAUUACACAUUAAUUUCUGAAAUUACAUCUCAUAUUCGGCCACUGUUGGUUAAUGCCCCAAGCUGGGCCAGUCAGUUUGAGGCAAUGCACCUGGCCUUUGUGAGUGUGCAGCUUGUCUUGAGAAAAGACAUUGGGCGUACAUAAGAUUCCCAAAAGUUCUCAUGACUUGCAGACAUGUCAACAGCAUUGCUCUAGUGAAGAGUGCUUUAGAGAAGAGAGAGGCUUGUAACACCAGCUGCCAUCUGCA